rnacentral:rRNA from 1 species
AGAACGAACGCUGGCGGCGUGGAUAAGACAUGCAAGUCGAACGCUGAUUUCAGGGUAGCAAUAUUCUGAAGUCGGAGUGGCGCAAGGGUGCGUAACACGUGGGUAAUCUGCCGUGAAGUCUGGGAUAACUUGCUGAAAGGCGAGCUAAUACCGGAUGUGAAAGCUGGAAGGCAUCUUCUGAUUUUCAAAGUUGGGGACCGCAAGGCCUGACGCUUUAUGAUGAACCCGCGGCCUAUCAGCUAGUUGGUGAGGUAACGGCUCACCAAGGCUAAGACGGGUAGCUGGUCUGAGAGGACGACCAGCCUCACUGGAACUGAGACACGGUCCAGACACCUACGGGUGCAGCAGUCGAGAUUUUCAC